AUUGAACGCUGGCGGCAGGCCUAACACAUGCAAGUCGAACGGUAGCACAGAGAGCUUGCUCUCGGGUGACGAGUGGCGGACGGGUGAGUAACGUCUGGGAAACUGCCCGAUGGAGGGGGAUAACUACUGGAAACGGUAGCUAAUACCGCAUAACGUCGCAAGACCAAAGUGGGGGACCUUCGGGCCUCACACCAUCGGAUGUGCCCAGAUGGGAUUAGCUAGUAGGUGGGGUAAUGGCUCACCUAGGCGACGAUCCCUAGCUGGUCUGAGAGGAUGACCAGCCACACUGGAACUGAGACACGGUCCAGACUCCUACGGGAGGCAGCAGUGGGGAAUAUUGCACAAUGGGCGCAAGCCUGAUGCAGCCAUGCCGCGUGUAUGAAGAAGGCCUUCGGGUUGUAAAGUACUUUCAGCGGGGAGGAAGGCGGUGAGGUUAAUAACCUUGCCGAUUGACGUUACCCGCAGAAGAAGCACCGGCUAACUCCGUGCCAGCCGCCGCGGUAA
rnacentral:rRNA from 1 species